GUAGGGAAUAUUGGGCAAUGGAUGCAAGUCUGACCCAGCCAUCCCGCGUGCCGGAAGAAGGCCCUCAGGGUUGUAAACGGCUUUUGACGGUGAAGAAUCGACAGGAUGCGUCCUGUUUUGACGGUAGCCGUUGAAUAAGCACCGGCUAACUCCGUGCCAGCAGCCGCGGUAAUACGGAGGGUGCGAGCGUUGUCCGGAUGUAUUGGGUUUAAAGGGUGCGUAGGCUGGAAGGUCAGUCAGCGGUGAAAAGCUGUCGCUUAACGAUAGUCUUGCCGCAGAUACUUCCUUUCUUGGAUGAGGAGGAGGCCACUGGAACGGAUGGUGUAGCGGUGAAAUGCAUAGAUAUCAUCCAGAACACCGAUUGCGAAGGCAGGUGGCUGUACCUUAAUCGACGCUGAUGCACGAAAGCAUGGGGAGCAAACAGGAUUAGAAACCCCUGUAGUCC
rnacentral:rRNA from 1 species